AAGUAAACGAAGUGUUCCUUUUAUUUAUUUAAAUACUGAUUCUGCGAGCAAGCGACAGCGGAUCAUUGGCCGCUGUACCGUGAAAUUGAGUUAAUGAUAAAACACUGCAGCUUGCCACCAUCACUGAUGAUUCAAGAUCGUUCGGUGACUAUCAUCGAGCUACAUCACCAACGGGAUACAAUAAAAAAUUAAACAGAAAAACAAAUGCGAGCAGCAUCAGUUACAGCGUCUUCAGUGAGUAUAGCCGGUUGCAUCGUCGGCGACUGAAAUCUACGUUUAUACAUCCCGGUCUGAAUAGCAGUAACACACUG